UAACACGUAGGGGGCGAGCGUUGUCCGGAUUCAUUGGGCGUAAAGAGCUCGUAGGCGGUGUGUCGCGUCGGUCGUGAAAACUUGGGGCUUAACCCUGAGCGUGCGGUCGAUACGGGCAUCACUUGAGUUCGGCAGGGGAGACUGGAAUUCCUGGUGUAGCGGUGAAAUGCGCAGAUAUCAGGAGGAACACCGGUGGCGAAGGCGGGUCUCUGGGCCGAUAUUGACGCUGAGGAGCGAAAGCGUGGGGAGCGAACAGGA
rnacentral:rRNA from 1 species